GACGAACGCUGGCGGCGUGCCUAAUACAUGCAAGUCGAACGCUUCUUUCCUCCCGAGUGCUUGCACUCAAUUGGAAAGAGGAGUGGCGGACGGGUGAGUAACACGUGGGUAACCUACCCAUCAGAGGGGGAUAACACUUGGAAACAGGUGCUAAUACCGCAUAACAGUUUAUGCCGCAUGGCAUAAGAGUGAAAGGCGCUUUCGGGUGUCGCUGAUGGAUGGACCCGCGGUGCAUUAGCUAGUUGGUGAGGUAACGGCUCACCAAGGCCACGAUGCAUAGCCGCCCUGAGAGGGUGAUCGGCCACACUGGGACUGAGACCCGGCCCAGACUCCUACGGGUGGCAGCAGUAGGGAAUCUUCGGCAAUGGACGAAAGUCUGACCGAGCAACGCCGCGUGAGUGAAGAGGGUUUUCGGAUCGUAAAACUCUGUUGUUAGAGAAGAACAAGGACGUUAGUAACUGAACGUCCCCUGACGGUAUCUAACCAGAGAGCCACGGCUAACUACGUG
rnacentral:rRNA from 1 species